rnacentral:rRNA from 1 species
CCUACGGGUGGCAGCAGUGGGGGAUAUUGCACAAUGGGGGGAACCCUGAUGCAGCGACGCCGCGUGGGUGAAGGAGCGUUUCGGCGCGUAAAGCCCUAUCGGCAGGGAAGAAGAUGACGGUACCUGACUAAGAAGCCCCGGCUAACUACGUGCCAGCAGCCGCGGUAAUACGUAGGGGGCGAGCGUUAUCCGGAUUGACUGGGGGUAAAGGGGGCGUAGACGGCCAUGCAAGCCAGGGGUGAAAGCCCGGGGCCCAACCCCGGGACUGCCCUUGGAACUGCAUGGCUGGAGUGCGGGAGGGGCAGGCGGAAUUCCUGGUGUAGCGGUGAAAUGCGUAGAUAUCAGGAGGAACACCGGCGGCGAAGGCGGCCUGCUGGACUGCGACUGACGUUGAGGCUCGAAAGCGUGGGUAGCGAACAGGAUUAGAUACCCUGGUAGUC